AUGGAAUACCAAAAAACAACUCUGAGGCCAGUAAAUUUAUGUUUAGCUGCAAUCACAUGCAGUGCACGUGUUUCCGAGCAGCUUUGGCCGGGAGGAGUUCACACUUCACACUUCACACUUCACACUAACUGUUGGAGAGUGAGUGUCUCAAGGAGUUUGAAUCUCAUCAACCCAAACUUUUGCCUCCAGCCCACCAGGCUGUUAUCCUCCGCCACUGCCUCCUCCUUAUUUUGCGCACCCAAUCUCGCCUCAGUCUUAUCAUCCUCAGCAGCUCAAUCAGGUAUGUGUGUGCUUCUACACUGGGGAUAUGAUGUUGAAAAUUUUGAGUUUUGUGUGUAUAUCUGUGGAUUCUUGAUGAGACUGAUUGUUAGUCUUGGUUUUGAGAACAAGCAUUGCAUCUUAAUUUUAGGUAAAGUUAGCUACUGCUCUCUCAUUCUAUUGCUUAAUCCACUUAAUGAGGUCAUGGAAAGGGAUUCUCGUAGGAUUGCUAAAAAUUUGUUACUUGAUUUAAACAACUGUCUUUCUUUUAAACUCAGAUGAAAGUAUGCAUGCAGGGUCUCCAUUUCUCUGUCUUUUUAUUGCAUCUAUAUGUUUUUAUGAUGACUUGUUAUAACUUAUUGGAGAUGCAUUGAUAAAAUUUAUGCUUGGUCUUUGAAUUACAACCAGAUUUCUGGGUAAGGAAUUUGUCAAGUGUGAACUUGAUAAGUGAAAUUUCUAGCUUCGCAUGCUGCUUCUUAUCGCAUAGACUGACUUGUGAGUUCAUUUUCUGUUUCAUGAUACCAGCCUUUGAUGUUUCUGUCUAAUGCAACCUUGUAUUUAUAGAUUUCAGACGAUGAUUAUAAAGCUGAUUUAAUAUGUUUUCAACUGUAAUGAUAUAAUUAGGAGUUUUGUCUCAAGUAUUGCUUGCAUAAUUCUCGUGAACUCUAGUAUGUUGAACUGCCGGAACUCACUGACAGUUAUGUUAUUGAGAAAGUGUCACGGAGCUUUACCCAAAUCUCAGUUCAAUGGUCUUAGUUCUUGUAUGAUUUAGGAACUUGUAUUAAAGUGGAAAUGAACUACUCUAUAUCCUCAGUUAGAUCUAAAAGUACGGAUACUUAUUGUCAUCCCAAUUAUGUAAGAAUUGUAUCUUAAUAGGAUCUUUAUCUGGUGGAGCUCCAACAACUUGGACUAUAAUUGUGACCAAUCAAACUCACUGUGCCUGUUGGAAACAUUUGUGAAUGGAAUCUUGAGAAGAAAUAAAGUGAGCAAUCCACUAUGAAGGAACCUAGUGUCAAUUAGAAGCUGUUGAUAGUGUGGUUUCAAAUAAGUUUUAGAUAGUAUGGGUUUCGAAGGGUUUUUUGGCUGGACUAGUAAGUGGGGUUUUGGUGUGGUUUCAAAUAAGUUUUAGAUAGUAUAGGUUUUGAAGGGGCUUUUGGCUGGACUAGUUAGUGGGGUUCUGGUUUCAGAUUUGGGUUUCUUUUGGGAGGUGGGUGUACUUUAGUGGAGUUGUUCUAGAGAUUUUUCAAGGAUUCAGAACUGGGUUUGUGGAGGAAUUCAGGAAUUCAAUUUGUUCUAUUAUAUCUACAGGUAACGUUGCAGGUCAGUUUUGCCAGAAGAUUUAGUGGGUUCUUGCAGAUUUUUGCAGGCAAUUAGUAAAGAAAAGAUGCAUUGUUCUGCAGUUUCAAGGUUCUUAAAGACUUGGUUUGAGGAAUUGGUGUUUGGUUCUUCAGCGUUUUAAUUUUUAGGCUAAUUUUGGCUUAUAUAGUAAAGGUUUCGAAUAAGUUCUGAUUCCAGUUUAUGGGUAAAUUAUGUUGCUGGAAUGAGUGGGGUCCAAACAUGGAUUAGAUCCAAUCUAGUUUUACUGGGAUCUGAGUGGCAAUUCAGGAUUUAAAGUCGAGCCAGCAACUGGCAGGAAAAAUUGGUUGUGACCUCUACCCGUUCUGUGGAAAGGACGCCCUCUAACUUGCUGAGGCUGCUAGAGUUUUUGAAAGUCAAUUGGCAGAGUCCAUCUUGGAAGGUGAUGGGCAACUUGCAUUUCAAAAGCUUGCAACUACAACACUUGAAAAACUAAUGCGGAUGAUAGAAGGGAACGGAGAGUUUUGGUCAGGCUAGGUGGAGGCUAGUGUAUGCACCAGAGAUCCCUAGCUUGCUUUCUGUUGAUCCUACUGUGGAUCCUCUCAAAUCCCUGGCCAGUAAUAUUUCAUUUGGUACAGAAGUUGAAGUCCAACUUGGGAAAACGUCUUCGGGUGUUUUUCAAGAAAUCUCCUUAAUCUGCUUUCGAUAUUGUUGCAACUCACAUUUGAUAUUCUCCAGAUGCAUCGGUUCUUCAAAAGUUUUGGAAACUUUGUGUGCAACAGCUCAUUAUUUCAGGUGAUGGCGUCAAAUAAGGCCUCAAGUGACAACAAUGGUGGGAGAAGAGAAAAACACUCAGAGAAAGGUUUGCUACCAACAAAUCGAUUCAUGUUACGACUGGAUUCCACAUUAGUGUGUUUGAAGGUAUUUCUUUGUUGAAGUCCGAAGUAGCUGCUGUAAAAUCUGAUGUGGGGAGGCUCAGACCAACGGUUGGAUGUUUGGAACCCAAUAUUGGGAUAUUGACACAAAAAAUAGUUGAAGUACCAGACUUAGUGUGAGAACUGAAAGUUGGUUUGUACUUUAGCACUCCAAAUUUGUAAUGACUGACCAUCUGAGGAUCAUCAUAUACUGCAGAUGGGAAAGUGUUGUAGAUUUGUUUUAUGCCUCCAUAUUCCAAGACACAUGCUCUGUGUUAUGCUCUGAAUAAUUGUAAUUGAGAGUGCACUUGGAACUGUAGUGUCAUAUUUUAGUUUCAUGGUGAAGAAAACAUUUAGCAGGGUGAAAAUAACUUCACCCCUUGAUUUUAGUGCGACGUCAAGUUGUAGGAUAUGAAGUUCUAUAGUACAUCCUUAUUUCAAGAAUUACUUCAAAAGGCUGAAAAUAUAAUGCAACUAUUUAUCCUUUCUGUUGA